UACGGGGGGAGCAAGCGUUGUUCGGAUUUACUGGGCGUAAAGGGCUCGUAGGCGGCCAACUAAGUCGGAUGUGAAAUCCCCAGGCUCAACCUGGGAACUGCAUCCGAUACUGGAUGGCUUGAAUCCGGGAGAGGGAUGCAGAAUUCCAGGUGUAGCGGUGAAAUGCGUAGAUAUCUGGAGGAAUACCGGUGGCGAAGGCGGCAUCCUGGACCGGCAUUGACGCUGAGGAGCGAAAGCCAGGGGAGCAAACGGG
rnacentral:rRNA from 1 species